UACAGAGGUCUCAAGCGUUGUUCGGAUUCAUUGGGCGUAAAGCGCGUGUAGGCGGCCCGGUAAGUCCGCUGUGAAAGUCGGGGGCUCAACCCUCGGAUGCCGGUGGAUACUGUCGGGCUCGAGUACGGAAGAGGCGAGUGGAAUUCCUGGUGUAGCGGUGAAAUGCGCAGAUAUCAGGAGGAACACCAAUUGCGAAGGCAGCUCGCUGGGACGUAACUGACGCUGAGACGCGAAAGCGUGGGGAGCAAACAGG
rnacentral:rRNA from 1 species